GUUUGUAGGCGUUUAUGUGUGAUUGCAGUGCUUACUUACAAGCCUGUUUCUGUUCUCUACCACCACUGUCUGUUCUCUACCACCGCUGUCUGUUCUCUACCCCCGCUGUCUGUUCUCUACCCCCGCUGUCUGUUCUCUACCCCCGCUGUCUGUUCUCUACCCCCGCUGUCUGUUCUCUACCCCCGCUGUCUGUUCUCUAACACCACCGCUGUCUGUUCUCUACCACCGCUGUCUGUUCUCUACCACCACCGCUGUCUGUUCUCUACCACCACCGCUGUCUGUUCUCUACCACCACCGCUGUCUGUUCUCUACCACCACCGCUGUCUGUUCUCUACCACCACCGCUGUCUGUUCUCUACCACCACCGCUGUCUGUUCUCUACCACCACCGCUGUCUGUUCUCUACCACCACCGCUGUCUGUUCUCUACCACCACCGCUGUCUGUUCUCUACCCCCGCUGUCUGUUCUCUACCACCACCGCUGUCUGUUCUCUACCACCACCGCUGUCUGUUCUCUACCACCACCGCUGUCUGUUCUCUACCACCACCGCUGUCUGUUCUCUACCACCACCGCUGUCUGUUCUCUACCACCGCUGUCUGUUCUCCACCACCGCUGUCUGUUCUCUACCACCACCGCUGUCUGUUCUCUACCACCACCGCUGUCUGUUCUCUACCACCACCGCUGUCUGUUCUCUACCACCACCGCUGUCUGUUCUCUACCACCACCGCUGUCUGUUCUCUACCACCACCGCUGUCUGUUCUCUACCACCACCGCUGUCUGUUCUCUACCACCACCGCUGUCUGUUCUCUACCACCACCGCUGUCUGUUCUCUACCACCACCGCUGUCUGUUCUCUACCACCACCGCUGUCUGUUCUCUACCACCACCGCUGUCUGUUCUCUACCACCACCGCUGUCUGUUCUCUACCACCACCGCUGUCUGUUCUCUACCACCACCGCUGUCUGUUCUCUACCACCACCGCUGUCUGUUCUCUACCACCACCGCUGUCUGUUCUCUACCACCACCGCUGUCUGUUCUCUACCACCACCGCUGUCUGUUCUCUACCACCACCGCUGUCUGUUCUCUACCACCACCGCUGUCUGUUCUCUACCACCACCGCUGUCUGUUCUCUACCACCACCGCUGUCUGUUCUCUACCACCGCUGUCUGUUCUCUACCACCACCGCUGUCUGUUCUCUACCCCCGCUGUCUGUUCUCUACCACCACCGCUGUCUGUUCUCUACCACCACCGCUGUCUGUUCUCUACCACCACCGCUGUCUGUUCUCUACCACCGCUGUCUGUUCUCUACCACCGCUGUCUGUUCUCUACCACCACCGCUGUCUGUUCUCUACCACCACCGCUGUCUGUUCUCUACCACCACCGCUGUCUGUUCUCUACCACCACCGCUGUCUGUUCUCUACCACCGCCGCUGUCUGUUCUCUACCACCGCCGCUGUCUGUUCUCUACCACCGCCGCUGUCUGUUCUCUACCACCGCCGCUGUCUGUUCUCUACCACCACCGCUGUCUGUUCUCUACCACCACCGCUGUCUGUUCUCUACCACCACCGCUGUCUGUUCUCUACCACCACCGCUGUCUGUUCUCUACCACCACCGCUGUCUGUUCUCUACCACCGCUGUCUGUUCUCUACCACCACCGCUGUCUGUUCUCUACCACCACCGCUGUCUGUUCUCUACCACCACCGCUGUCUGUUCUCUACCACCACCGCUGUCUGUUCUCUACCACCACCGCUGUCUGUUCUCUACCACCACCGCUGUCUGUUCUCUACCACCACCGCUGUCUGUUCUCUACCACCACCGCUGUCUGUUCUCUACCACCACCGCUGUCUGUUCUCUACCACCACCGCUGUCUGUUCUCUACCACCACCGCUGUCUGUUCUCUACCACCACCGCUGUCUGUUCUCUACCACCACCGCUGUCUGUUCUCUACCACCACCGCUGUCUGUUCUCUACCACCACCGCUGUCUGUUCUCUACCACCACCGCUGUCUGUUCUCUACCACCACCGCUGUCUGUUCUCUACCACCACCGCUGUCUGUUCUCUACCACCACCGCUGUCUGUUCUCUACCACCACCGCUGUCUGUUCUCUACCACCACCGCUGUCUGUUCUCUACCACCACCGCUGUCUGUUCUCUACCACCACCGCUGUCUGUUCUCUACCACCACCGCUGUCUGUUCUCUACCACCACCGCUGUCUGUUCUCUACCACCACCGCUGUCUGUUCUCUACCACCACCGCUGUCUGUUCUCUACCACCACCGCUGUCUGUUCUCUACCACCACCGCUGUCUGUUCUCUACCACCACCGCUGUCUGUUCUCUACCACCACCGCUGUCUGUUCUCUACCACCACCGCUGUCUGUUCUCUACCACCACCGCUGUCUGUUCUCUACCACCACCGCUGUCUGUUCUCUACCACCACCGCUGUCUGUUCUCUACCACCACCGCUGUCUGUUCUCUACCACCACCGCUGUCUGUUCUCUACCACCACCGCUGUCUGUUCUCUACCACCACCGCUGUCUGUUCUCUACCACCACCGCUGUCUGUUCUCUACCACCACCGCUGUCUGUUCUCUACCACCACCGCUGUCUGUUCUCUACCACCACCGCUGUCUGUUCUCUACCACCACCGCUGUCUGUUCUCUACCCCCGCUGUCUGUUCUCUACCACCACCGCUGUCUGUUCUCUACCACCACCGCUGUCUGUUCUCUACCACCACCGCUGUCUGUUCUCUACCACCACCGCUGUCUGUUCUCUACCACCACCGCUGUCUGUUCUCUACCACCACCGCUGUCUGUUCUCUACCACCACCGCUGUCUGUUCUCUACCACCACCGCUGUCUGUUCUCUACCACCACCGCUGUCUGUUCUCUACCACCACCGCUGUCUGUUCUCUACCACCACCGCUGUCUGUUCUCUACCACCACCGCUGUCUGUUCUCUACCACCACCGCUGUCUGUUCUCUACCACCACCGCUGUCUGUUCUCUACCACCACCGCUGUCUGUUCUCUACCACCACCGCUGUCUGUUCUCUACCACCACCGCUGUCUGUUCUCUACCACCACCGCUGUCUGUUCUCUACCACCACCGCUGUCUGUUCUCUACCACCACCGCUGUCUGUUCUCUACCACCACCGCUGUCUGUUCUCUACCACCACCGCUGUCUGUUCUCUACCACCACCGCUGUCUGUUCUCUACCACCACCGCUGUCUGUUCUCUACCACCACCGCUGUCUGUUCUCUACCACCACCGCUGUCUGUUCUCUACCACCACCGCUGUCUGUUCUCUACCACCACCGCUGUCUGUUCUCUACCACCACCGCUGUCUGUUCUCUACCACCACCGCUGUCUGUUCUCUACCACCACCGCUGUCUGUUCUCUACCACCACCGCUGUCUGUUCUCUACCACCACCGCUGUCUGUUCUCUACCACCGCUGUCUGUUCUCUACCACCACCGCUGUCUGUUCUCUACCCCCGCUGUCUGUUCUCUACCACCACCGCUGUCUGUUCUCUACCACCACCGCUGUCUGUUCUCUACCACCACCGCUGUCUGUUCUCUACCACCGCUGUCUGUUCUCUACCACCGCUGUCUGUUCUCUACCACCACCGCUGUCUGUUCUCUACCACCACCGCUGUCUGUUCUCUACCACCGCCGCUGUCUGUUCUCUACCACCGCCGCUGUCUGUUCUCUACCACCGCCGCUGUCUGUUCUCUACCACCGCCGCUGUCUGUUCUCUACCACCGCCGCUGUCUGUUCUCUACCACCGCCGCUGUCUGUUCUCUACCACCACCGCUGUCUGUUCUCUACCACCACCGCUGUCUGUUCUCUACCACCACCGCUGUCUGUUCUCUACCACCACCGCUGUCUGUUCUCUACCACCACCGCUGUCUGUUCUCUACCACCGCUGUCUGUUCUCUACCACCACCGCUGUCUGUUCUCUACCACCACCGCUGUCUGUUCUCUACCACCACCGCUGUCUGUUCUCUACCACCACCGCUGUCUGUUCUCUACCACCACCGCUGUCUGUUCUCUACCACCACCGCUGUCUGUUCUCUACCACCACCGCUGUCUGUUCUCUACCACCACCGCUGUCUGUUCUCUACCACCGCUGUCUGUUCUCUACCACCACCGCUGUCUGUUCUCUACCCCCACCGCUGUCUGUUCUCUACCCCCGCUGUCUGUUAUUUACCACCACCGCUGUCUGUUCUUUACCACCACCGCUGUCUGUUCUCUACCACCACCGCUGUCUGUUCUCUACCACCACCGCUGUCUGUUCUCUACCACCACCGCUGUCUGUUCUCUACCACCGCUGUCUGUUCUCUACCACCGCUGUCUGUUCUCUACCACCGCUGUCUGUUCUCUACCACCACCGCUGUCUGUUCUCUACCACCACCGCUGUCUGUUCUCUACCACCACCGCUGUCUGUUCUCUACCACCACCGCUGUCUGUUCUCUACCACCACCGCUGUCUGUUCUCUACCACCACCGCUGUCUGUUCUCUACCACCACCGCUGUCUGUUCUCUACCACCACCGCUGUCUGUUCUCUACCACCACCGCUGUCUGUUCUCUACCACCACCGCUGUCUGUUCUCUACCACCACCGCUGUCUGUUCUCUACCACCACCGCUGUCUGUUCUCUACCACCACCGCUGUCUGUUCUCUACCACCACCGCUGUCUGUUCUCUACCACCACCGCUGUCUGUUCUCUACCACCACCGCUGUCUGUUCUCUACCACCACCGCUGUCUGUUCUCUACCACCACCGCUGUCUGUUCUCUACCACCACCGCUGUCUGUUCUCUACCACCACCGCUGUCUGUUCUCUACCACCACCGCUGUCUGUUCUCUACCACCACCGCUGUCUGUUCUCUACCACCACCGCUGUCUGUUCUCUACCACCACCGCUGUCUGUUCUCUACCACCACCGCUGUCUGUUCUCUACCACCACCGCUGUCUGUUCUCUACCACCACCGCUGUCUGUUCUCUACCACCACCGCUGUCUGUUCUCUACCACCACCGCUGUCUGUUCUCUACCACCACCGCUGUCUGUUCUCUACCACCACCGCUGUCUGUUCUCUACCACCACCGCUGUCUGUUCUCUACCACCACCGCUGUCUGUUCUCUACCACCACCGCUGUCUGUUCUCUACCACCGCUGUCUGUUCUCUACCACCACCGCUGUCUGUUCUCUACCCCCGCUGUCUGUUCUCUACCACCACCGCUGUCUGUUCUCUACCACCACCGCUGUCUGUUCUCUACCACCACCGCUGUCUGUUCUCUACCACCACCGCUGUCUGUUCUCUACCACCACCGCUGUCUGUUCUCUACCACCACCGCUGUCUGUUCUCUACCACCGCUGUCUGUUCUCUACCACCACCGCUGUCUGUUCUCUACCACCACCGCUGUCUGUUCUCUACCACCACCGCUGUCUGUUCUCUACCACCACCGCUGUCUGUUCUCUACCACCGCCGCUGUCUGUUCUCUACCACCGCCGCUGUCUGUUCUCUACCACCGCCGCUGUCUGUUCUCUACCACCGCCGCUGUCUGUUCUCUACCACCGCCGCUGUCUGUUCUCUACCACCACCGCUGUCUGUUCUCUACCACCACCGCUGUCUGUUCUCUACCACCACCGCUGUCUGUUCUCUACCACCGCUGUCUGUUCUCUACCACCACCGCUGUCUGUUCUCUACCACCACCGCUGUCUGUUCUCUACCACCACCGCUGUCUGUUCUCUACCACCACCGCUGUCUGUUCUCUACCACCACCGCUGUCUGUUCUCUACCACCACCGCUGUCUGUUCUCUACCACCACCGCUGUCUGUUCUCUACCACCACCGCUGUCUGUUCUCUACCACCACCGCUGUCUGUUCUCUACCACCGCUGUCUGUUCUCUACCACCACCGCUGUCUGUUCUCUACCCCCACCGCUGUCUGUUCUCUACCCCCGCUGUCUGUUCUUUACCACCACCGCUGUCUGUUCUUUACCACCACCGCUGUCUGUUCUCUACCACCACCGCUGUCUGUUCUCUACCACCACCGCUGUCUGUUCUCUACCACCACUGCUGUCUGUUCUCUACCACCGCUGUCUGUUCUCUACCACCGCUGUCUGUUCUCUACCACCGCUGUCUGUUCUCUACCACCACCGCUGUCUGUUCUCUACCACCACCGCUGUCUGUUCUCUACCACCACCGCUGUCUGUUCUCUACCACCACCGCUGUCUGUUCUCUACCACCACCGCUGUCUGUUCUCUACCACCACCGCUGUCUGUUCUCUACCACCACCGCUGUCUGUUCUCUACCACCACCGCUGUCUGUUCUCUACCACCACCGCUGUCUGUUCUCUACCACCACCGCUGUCUGUUCUCUACCACCACCGCUGUCUGUUCUCUACCACCGCUGUCUGUUCUCUACCACCACCGCUGUCUGUUCUCUACCACCACCGCUGUCUGUUCUCUACCACCACCGCUGUCUGUUCUCUACCACCACCGCUGUCUGUUCUCUACCACCACCGCUGUCUGUUCUCUACCACCGCUGUCUGUUCUCUACCACCACCGCUGUCUGUUCUCUACCACCACCGCUGUCUGUUCUCUACCACCGCUGUCUGUUCUCUACCACCACCGCUGUCUGUUCUCUACCCCCGCUGUCUGUUCUCUACCACCACCGCUGUCUGUUCUCUACCACCACCGCUGUCUGUUCUCUACCACCACCGCUGUCUGUUCUCUACCACCACCGCUGUCUGUUCUCUACCACCACCGCUGUCUGUUCUCUACCACCACCGCUGUCUGUUCUCUACCACCACCGCUGUCUGUUCUCUACCACCACCGCUGUCUGUUCUCUACCACCACCGCUGUCUGUUCUCUACCACCACCGCUGUCUGUUCUCUACCACCACCGCUGUCUGUUCUCUACCACCGCUGUCUGUUCUCUACCACCGCUGUCUGUUCUCUACCACCACAGCUGUCUGUUCUCUACCACCACAGCUGUCUGUUCUCUACCACCACCGCUGUCUGUUCUCUACCACCACCGCUGUCUGUUCUCUACCACCACCGCUGUCUGUUCUCUACCACCACCGCUGUCUGUUCUCUACCACCGCUGUCUGUUCUCUACCACCACCGCUGUCUGUUCUCUACCACCACCGCUGUCUGUUCUCUACCACCACCGCUGUCUGUUCUCUACCACCACCUCUAUCUGUUCUCUUUCUUUCUCUCUCACGUCUCUUCCUUGAGGGUGGGGGGAAUCAGGGGUGCCAAUGGUCAGGACCAUCUAGUAAGUGCGAGAGCGCACACACACACACACCUGCAAACAGCCACCGACACAAACCUGUCAACUCGUUAA
ensembl:lncRNA